AACCAGGAGGUUGGCUUAGAAGCAGCCACCCUUGAAAGAGUGCGUAAUAGCUCACUGGUCAAGUGAUUCCGCGCCGACAAUGUAACGGGGCUCAAGCACGCCACCGAAUUUGUGGCAUUCAUAUUAGUGGCAGGCCUUCGUGGUCCAGCCGUGUGGAUGGGUAGGAGAGCGUCGUGUGGCGAGUGAAGCGGCGGUGUGAACCAGCCGUGGACGCCACACGAGUGAGAAUGCAGGCAUGAGUAGCGAAAGACGGGUGAGAAACCCGUCCUCCGAAAGACCAAGGGUUCCAGGGCCAGGCUAAUCCGCCCUGGGUAAGUCGGGACCUAAGGCGAGGCCGACAGGCGUAGUCGAUGGACAACGGGUUGAUAUUCCCGUACUGGCGAAGAAACGCCCAAGCCAAUCCAGUAGUGCUAAGAGUCCUAACCCGGCUGAUCGAUCCCUUCGGGGGGAGACGGCCGGUCUAACGCUCGACCCCGUUCUGGUGCGGUUAGCGUAUUAACAGGUGUGACGCAGGAAGGUAGCUGAGCCGGGCGAUGGUUGUCCCGGUCUAAGGAUGUAGGCCGAGAGAUAGGCAAAUCCGUCUCUCAUAUAAGGCUGAGACCCGAUGGGUAGUCCUCACGGACGAAAUCAGUGAUCCUAUGCUGCCAAGAAAAGCAUCGACGCGAGGUUCCAGCCACCCGUACCCCAAACCGACUCAGGUGGUCAGGUAGAGAAUACCAAGGAGAUCGAGAGAAUCGUGGUUAAGGA
rnacentral:rRNA from 1 species